UACGUAGGGUGCAAGCGUUGUCCGGAAUUAUUGGGCGUAAAGAGCGUGUAGGCGGUCCGGUAAGUCGGCUGUGAAAGUCCAGGGCUCAACCCUGGGAUGCCGGUCGAUACUGCCGGACUAGAGUUCGGAAGAGGCGAGUGGAAUUCCCGGUGUAGCGGUGAAAUGCGCAGAUAUCGGGAGGAACACCAGUGGCGAAGGCGGCUUGCCAGAACGCGCUCGACGGGUGAGGGAUGGAAAGCUGGGGGAGCAAACCGG
rnacentral:rRNA from 1 species